CCCGGAGGGGCCUUCCGGCAACUUUUUGGUUGGUGCCGCCCCGCCCAGGCCCCUUUUAAACUUGAUCUCCGCAGUGCCCUCCCUUUUCGGCCGCGGCGCGUGACUGGGCUUGGUGGAGUUUCAAGAUGCUGAUGAACUUAAGGUCUGGCGCUUGAAAGAAUCAGUGAAGCUUUUCAAGUAGAGGAGUACUCUACUUUGAAGAAAGGAAUGGAACAGAAGGUGUCUGCAUAACUAAAUGGGGAUCUAGAGAAAGUGGAGACUGCCUCUGGAGCAGGGAGGUUCUAGAUGAAUGACUGAUGAAGACACAACAGCACGGUGGUGAGGCCAUUGAAUGCUUCUAAGACUGCACUUGGCAACAUCACAAGCUGCAGAAUCCCGUGCCACAUAUGACCUGCUGUUCACCGGUUCUUGCCAGGAUCACACCUGAGAAGAGGAAGAUAAUGGAGAUGGAAGACUUGGGAUGCUCAGGGUCCUGCUAGCCUUCAAACUGCAGGACUCUGAGCAUCCCAAGUCUUACCAUGAGUUGCUAAAAGAGAACCAGACCCAUGUUUAUCCCUUUGAAAGAAACCUGAACCAAGCCAUUCCUCUGGACUGUUCUUCCAUCCACUGGACCAAUAACUCAUAGUUUGAAGGAUUUUUACUUAAUGGAAGUGAGAAAACA
rnacentral:lncRNA from 1 species